CGGAUCGGAGUCUGCAACCCGACUCCGUGAAGCUGGAUUCGCUAGUAAUCGCGCAUCAGCCAUGGCGCGGUGAAUACGUUCCCGGGCCUUGUACACACCGCCCGUCAAGCCAUGGGAGCCGGGGGCGCCUGAAGUCCGGGACCGCGAGGACCGGCCUAGGGCGAAACUGGUAGCUGGGGCUAAGUCGUAACAAGGUAUC
rnacentral:rRNA from 1 species